GGUUGGAUCAUUAACAAAUUCAAUCAAAAUUAGAGGGAAACCUCUUUUUUUACACACAAUGUGAACUGUUUAUUGUCUCUGGUGGUUUAUUCUUUAUUGAAUAUCCACCUAUUUAUAAAACUUAUUAUUUAUUGGCCUUUAUAUCUUAAAAAGUUUAAUUAAAAAACAACUUUUGGCAACGGAUCUCUAGGCUCUUGCAACGAUGAAGAACGCAGCGAAAUGCGAUAAGUAAUGUGAAUUGCAGAAUUCCGUGAAUCAUUAAAUCUUUGAACGCACAUUGCGCUUUCUGGUAUUCCGGAGAGCAUGUCUGUUUGAGAAUCAGUUUAACCAUCAUACCUUUUUUUAUUGAAAGUGUAUGGAAAUGAGAUAUGUUGUUGUAAACAACCGUCUUUAAAUUUAAAAUUAGCCCUUUUUAAUUGCGAUUUUUUAACGCUAGAAGGCAUGACCAAUGAACUGGAAACGGUUCUUAUGAUUGCUGAUAAUGGCUCAAGGAAUAACAAGAAGAAAGUAAGCUUUUACAAUAAAAAUCACAAAGAGAAAUCUUUAAGACUUUGAUCUCAAAUCAGAUAAGACUACCCGCUGAACUUAAGCAUAUCAAUAAGCGGAGGAAAAGAAACUAACAAGGAUUCCCCUAGUAACGGCGAGUGAAGCGGGAACAGCUCAAAUUUGAAAUCUCUUGGGUUUACUCAAGCGAAUUGUAGUUUAAAGAAACAUUUUCGGAGGCAGAUCAGGUCUAAGUUCUUUGGAACAAGGCAACACAGAGGGUGAGAUUCCCGUAUGUGAUCUGAAUACUGCUUCUAUGUGAUAUGUUUUCAAAGAGUCGGGUUGUUUGGGAAUGCAGCCCAAAAUGGGUGGUAAAUACCAUCUAAAGCUAAAUAUUGGCAAGAGACCGAUAGCGAACAAGUACCGUGAGGGAAAGAUGAAAAGAACUUUGAAAAGAGAGUUAAAUAGUACGUGAAAUUGCCAAAAGGGAAACGCUUGAAACCAGUUUUGAUACUAGAAUCCCAACUGAUUUAACAAUCAGCAUAUGUUUCUAGUAUCAGGUCAACAUCGGUUUGAUUUGAAGUACAAAGCUUGAGGAAUGUGGCCCAUUUUUGGGUGUUAUAGACUCAAGUAAUGCUUUGGAUUAGACCGAGGAAAGCAGUGCAGUCUUGGGGACCCGUUCGCUAGUUGAACCAAUUGUGUAGACAACAUGUUGACUAUAUGAAUGGCUAGGCUAAUCGGGCGGUUUACCACACCUGUGCUUAGGAUGUUGACAAAAUGGUUUUAAACGACCCGUCUUGAAACACGGACCAAGGAGUCUAACACAUAUGCGAGUAUUUGGGUGCUAAACCCAAAAUGCGUAAUGAAAGUAAUAAGGUGCGAUCCGUUAAAAGUGCAGCAUCGACCGGUCUGGAUUUUUUAUGAUAGAUCUGAGUAAGAGCAUAUUUGUUAGGACCCGAAAGAUGGUGAACUAUGCCUGAAUAGGGCGAAGCCAGAGGAAACUCUGGUGGAGGCUCGUAGCGAUUCUGACGUGCAAAUCGAUCGUCAAAUUUGGGUAUAGGGGCGAAAGACUAAUCGAACUAUCUAGUAGCUGGUUCCCUC
rnacentral:misc_RNA from 1 species